AAGGAGAAAAGUUAGAUCAAAUCCAGCCAACCAAUCCCGAUAUCCACAGCCUCUUUCUCCAUUGGACCAGAGCUGUCCCAACUAAAACCAGAACUCCAGAAGCACCAAAUGCAAGAGCACCAACACCGAACAAAAACAUAAUCAAAUUGCGAGCCAGAAAUACAAAGAAAAAUAUUACUCCUACGACUCGUGCGCACACUCCUCAACUGUUCUUGGGAAUCUUGGGAGGAAGAAAGUAGAGAGUUCCCUGAGCUCCUUGCCAGUUCUUGCUUCAUGGUUUCUUGAGGUCCUCUCUUGACCCAAGAACUCGGGGGGUUUCUUGGAUUGUCCUGCCAUGUCGGUCUCGUCCUCGCCCAUGUGUGGCGGAGGGGACACCGGGAUGAGGAUCGUGGUGUGGUUCCGGAGGGACCUCAGGGUGGAGGACAACCCGGCGCUUGCGGCGGCCGCGCGCGCCGGCGGGGAGGUGGUGCCGGCGUACGUGUGGUCGCCGGAGGAGGAUGGCCCUUACUAUCCGGGGCGAGUCUCCCGGUGGUGGAUCAGCCAGAGCCUGCAGCAUCUGGACGCCUCGCUCCGCCGGCUAGGGGCAGGAAAGCUCGUCACGCGGAGGUCGGACGACGCCGUCGUCGCGCUGCUCCAGCUCGUCCGCGACACCGGCGCCACGCACGUCUACUUCAAUCAUCUCUACGACCCGAUCUCACUGGUCAGGGACCACCGGCUGAAGGAGAUGCUGACGGCUGAGGGCAUCGUUGUGCAAUCUUUCAAUGCAGAUCUGCUGUAUGAGCCAUGGGAAGUUGUCGAUGAUGAAGGGCAACCAUUCACCAUGUUUGCCCCGUUCUGGAACAGGUGCCUAAGCAUGCCGUAUGAUCCCCCCGCGCCACUUCUGCCCCCAAAGAAGAUCAAUUCAGGUGACUUAACAAUGUGCCCAUCGGAUGAUCUUAUCUUUGAGGAUGAGUCAGAGAGGGGAAGCAAUGCUCUUCUGGCCCGAGCAUGGACACCAGGAUGGCAGAAUGCAGACAAGGCCCUAACGGCCUUCCUCAACGGUCCACUGGCUGACUAUUCAGUGAACCGCAAGAAGGCUGAUAGUGCGAGCACAUCCCUACUGUCACCUCACCUUCAUUUCGGUGAGCUUAGCGUGCGCAAGGUCUUCCAUCUAGUUCGUAUGAAGCAGCUUGUGUGGAGCAACGACGGCAACCACGCUGCUGAGGAGAGCUGCACCCUGUUUCUCGGUUCCAUUGGCCUGCGGGAGUACUCCCGGUAUCUGAGCUUCAACCAUCCAAGCAGCCAUGAGAGGCCCCUCUUGGCACACCUCAGGUUUUUCCCCUGGGUGGUCAAUGAGUGCUACUUCAAGAUUUGGAGGCAGGGAAGGACUGGGUACCCGCUUGUUGAUGCUGGCAUGAGGGAACUGUGGGCGACAGGGUGGUUGCAUGACCGGAUACGUGUGGUGGUGUCAAGCUUCUUUGUCAAGGUCCUUCAACUUCCAUGGCGAUGGGGUAUGAAGUACUUUUGGGACACUUUACUGGAUGCUGAUCUUGAGAGUGAUGCACUGGGCUGGCAGUACAUCACUGGCUCUCUUCCUGAUGGCCGAGAGCUUGACCGCAUUGACAACCCUCAGUUUGAAGGCUACAAGUUCGACCCACAUGGGGAGUAUGUGCGACGGUGGAUUCCGGAGCUUGCAAGGCUGCCGACAGAAUGGAUACAUCACCCAUGGGAUGCACCUGUUUCCGUGCUGCAAGCUGCAGGAAUUGAGUUGGGCUCCAACUAUCCUCUCCCCAUAAUUGAGCUAGACGCAGCCAAAGCCAGGCUGCAAGAAGCCCUGUCAGAAAUGUGGCAGCUGGAGGCCGCAUCAAGGGCCACAAUGAACAAUGGAAUGGAGGAAGGCCUCGGAGACUCCUCAGAGGUUCCACCGAUUGAGUUUCCUCGAGAAUUACAUAUGGAAAUCGAUCGGCAGCCAGCCCAGGCAACGGCCAAUGUGCCGACUACUGCUCGGAGGCGUCAGGAUCAGAUGGUGCCUACCAUGACGUCUUCACUGAACAGAGCUGAAACAGCGGUUUCUGCCGACCUGGGGAACAGUGAGGAUACUAGAGCACAGGUUCCGUUUCAUGCACAUAUCGAACCUCGAGUUCAAAGGGAAGAUGCAAAUGCAAUCCAAAAUGCAGAAGGCCCUGCUCUUAGAAUCCAUGGUGUUCACCAGCCAAACUUCUUUCAGCAACCUCAGCAUCGUAGGCGAGAAGCUGUUGCGCCAUCGGUGUCCGAGGCGUCAAGUAGCUGGACCGGAAGAGAAGGCGCUGUAGUCCCAGUUUGGUCACCUCCUGCUGCAUCAGGCCAUUCAGAAACUUUUGCUGCUGAUGAAGCUGACGUUUCUAGUAGGAGUUAUUGGAUAGGCAUCCACAGUCGCACCGGUUGAUGAACUGGAGUCAGCUACCCCAGUCAUUGUGAGUUCGGAUGCACCAUAACCCAUUGUUCUCAGACAACAGGCUGGGAACUGGAAAAUUCCGUGCAGCCAAACUUAAUUGGUUAGGGUUUUCUGAUGGAUGUGCAAACCAGGCAGCUCGUUCCUGUAUGUGAUAAUAGUUGUGUAAAUCUAAUCCACUAGAACUUGUGCGAUCGGUAUAGGGUGGUUGGCUUAAAAAGAAUCACUGUUGUUGAUCAGACAAUGAAGGUUUUCCUGUAAUUUCGAGCUUUUUUCUUGGAGGUGUGUUAUGUAUGUAACUGUGCAUUCCCUUGUGUUUCUCUGUUUGACCAUCGGCGACCUUUGGUUAC